rnacentral:rRNA from 1 species
AUUGAACGCUGGCGGCAGGCCUAACACAUGCAAGUCGAACGGUAACAGGAAGAAGCUUGCUUCUUUGCUGACGAGUGGCGGACGGGUGAGUAAUGUCUGGGAAACUGCCUGAUGGAGGGGGAUAACUACUGGAAACGGUAGCUAAUACCGCAUAACGUCGCAAGACCAAAAAGGGGGACCUUCGGGCCUCUUGCCAUCGGAUGUGCCCAGAUGGGAUUAGCUAGUAGGUGGGGUAACGGCUCACCUAGGCGACGAUCCCUAGCUGGUCUGAGAGGAUGACCAGCCACACUGGAACUGAGACACGGUCCAGACUCCUACGGGAGGCAGCAGUGCGGAAUAUUGCACAAUGGGCGCAAGCCUGAUGCAGCCAUGCCGCGUGUAUGAAGAAGGCCUUCGGGUUGUAAAGUACUUUCAGCGGGGAGGAAGGGAGUAAAGUUAAUACCUUUGCUCAUUGACGUUACCCGCAGAAGAAGCACCGGCUAACUCCGUG